AGUGAACGCUGGCGGUAGGCCUAACACAUGCAAGUCGAACGGCAGCACAGUAAGAGCUUGCUCUUACGGGUGGCGAGUGGCGGACGGGUGAGGAAUACAUCGGAAUCUACUUUUUCGUGGGGGAUAACGUAGGGAAACUUACGCUAAUACCGCAUACGACCUACGGGUGAAAGCAGGGGAUCUUCGGACCUUGCGCGAUUGAAUGAGCCGAUGUCGGAUUAGCUAGUUGGCGGGGUAAAGGCCCACCAAGGCGACGAUCCGUAGCUGGUCUGAGAGGAUGAGCGGCAACAAGGGAAGUGAGAGACGGUCCGGACCACUAAGGGAGGCAGCAGUAGGGAAGGUUCGGAAAGGGGCGAAAGUCGGACGGAGCAAGGACGCGUGAGGGAUGAAGGUCGUCGGAUCGUAAAACUCUGUUAUGAGGGAAGAACAAAGGGGUACGGACAAAUGCGCGUCUUGACGGUACCUAAUGAGAAAGCACCGGCUAACUACGUG
rnacentral:rRNA from 1 species